rnacentral:lncRNA from 1 species
UGUUAUGAGCAAUUAUAAAUAUGUUUAGAAUGCCCUAAACACGUAUUAACAUUAACAAAUCUUUUGAGCUCUUAUAAGCGGAUUAUUAGCUAUUAAUUCAUACUUAUUACAAGGACCUUCAUAUGGAGUGUUACCAAAGGGGUAUGACAAAAAGGAAAGGGUGGAUGGAGAGAAUCAGCAAAAAGUUCCCUUGAGUGCAGUGUACACUUCAUCUACUGUUUUUUUUUUUUACUGCAGAAUGGGAUGGAUUACAUUGGUUACAUAUAUUACGGGUUAUCAACACCCUCUGAUAGAAAACUGAUAACAUUGGAAACAGUAACAUUUACUGUUUCAAGACAUGAGCUAGCUUUGUGCUCAAAACAAACAAUAAGAAACUGUUAAUAUGUCCUCCUCCUUUGUGCCAUUGCCAUGGUACUGACCCACAGGUAUGUAAGCGUCCAAGAACUUAUUCGCCUUCAGGUUGGCUCCAUUGUGCAUUUUCAGUUUUUCAAUCAGUCAUGAAUAAAUGUCUGACCAUCUAACCAAAGGGUCUAUUCCAUGAUUUUGUGCCAAUUCAUGAGAAAUGGGGAACUUACAAGCAUGAUAGUAACACACCAAUGAGUACUUGGUAUGAGUUUUUGGUUUCAACUCGGUGAAAUAGCUGGUAAAUAUUGAAAAAUUAAACACAUUUAAACUUAAAAUAACCAAAAAAAUAAAUAAAUAAAAAUCAUCAUGGUAGCUUUGUUACUGGAUAGCCAGUUAAGCAACCUGUUCCUUGGCCACAGGGUCAGUGCCUGUGGCCAAGCAAGGGCAAGGCCGAAACAGCUGGUGAUGUAAACCUCUGCUGAUCUGAUCCCAUAGACCAGGGGUCGGCAACCUUAAACACUCAAAGAGCCACUUGGACCAGUUUCCCACAGAAAAGAAAACACAGGGAGCCACAAAACCUCUUUGACAUCUAAAAUGAAGAUUUUUUUUUUUUUUUACCUUUAUACAAAGUAUAUAAAAAACUGUAGCGAGUUGCAUUUAUGAAAUAAAUGAACUAUUUCGGCGAGUGUCUGUCUUCUUCUGUAGUUAAACCGCAAGAUAUCAAAAUCUACCCGGAUACAGCAAUGAUGCUUUUUGAUUGGCUGUUCAGUAGAUAUACUUUAUUCGAUUGGCUUCUGCGUGGCACGCAGCUUCUGAACUCUCGGAGGAACUCAGUUGAUUUCCCCCAGUUCCAUAGUUGAAGAAGUGCAACUUGGUGGACAUCACCGUGUUCAUUUAAAUGCGUGAGAAGUACAAUGUGUGGUGUGUGAGCGUGUGAACGAGUGGGAAUGCGUGUGUCAUACGCUGAAUGCGUGAGACUUGAGAGCCCUGUGCUCACGCAUCAUCGAUGUACUCCCGAGCCAUGCAAAACGGUCUUUGCAAAUGUUGCACUGAACGCCUUCCUUUUCAGUCUUGGUAAAGUUUUCCCACACCACUGAUGUUUUAGGUCGGGAUUUGGGUUGGGUUGUGUCCAUGUUUUUCUCAGCUGCUGCCUCGGCCAUGGCUGUUUCUUUUCUGUGCGUCCUGCUGAUGUUUACACGCCGGUGUCCAUGGACAUAUAUAAAGACCCGACGAAUCGAUUACAGAAUUUGUUGGCAACGGAUUUUUUCGUCACGACCAAUCUACUUAAUCGAUUCGUUGUUGCAGCCUUAAUAGUUUAUUUAAUGUUACAAGAGCAUUAUAAUCUUUGAAUUUAGAAUUACAAAAAAAUAAUAAUACUAAUGAAAUAAAAUAAAAUGCAAUUAAGUAUUUAUUAUUUAUUUUCCAAAUCCAUUGGGAGCCGCAGCUUAGGGAAGAAAGAGCCGCAUGCGGCUCCAGAGCCGCGGGUUGCCGACCCCUGCCAUAGACUGUAUGGACAUCUUGGUUCCGCCUUAUGCCAGUAUACGGAUUUGAAGCCAAAAAGCUCUCGGUAAUUCUGCGUUGGUUCCUCCAUUUCCUGAAACCAACAUUGCGCAGUUGCGUUUUAUGCAUUUGGCGAGAGAGUCGCUGUGAUGACGCUCAAAAACGGAGCUGUACAGAAAAAGAAUGACGAGCAAAAACCAGUCUUACAGUAACUACAUGUCAAUAUCGCAAGCAGGGGGGAAGAAAAUUAUGUUCUAUGUAAUAAAUUUCUAAAGUUUGUCCACAGCUCCAUAAGUUUUGCUGGCGGAGGCAGGAUUUAUGACCUAUACUGCAGCCCGUCACCAGAGGGUGCUGUUCUUAGAGUGGCUUCACCCAGCGAGGAGGCAGACACUGUCCAUUCUAUAUACAGUCUAUGUCUGGUCCUCUGUAGACCGGCUACAGUCACAGUCAGUAAUAUAUGCUCAGUUAAGAUUAGGCGAUUUGACUAGACAACUGACCUUGUCACAGUUUACGAGCACCUGGCAAGAAUUAAAUUACUGGAAGAGGCAUGUCCACCUUUGCUGCGAUUAGUGGUGACCCCCUUUCAGUUUGUGUCUCACAAAUGACCCCUUACAUACCAAAACAGUCAGCAAAAAAUAUCACCAAGAGGCCAGCAGGGUGUACAUCACAAAUGAAAACAAAGUCACUUUGACAGCUCUGUAACAUUUGCUCUUAUGACCAGAAAGUUUAAUCUUUUUUUACGACUUUUGUAAGGUUUGUUUACAAUAUGACUGUCCUGCAAACAUCCAUGUUAUGCAACUCCUGACACAAAGCCCACCAUGAAUGCUGAGGUUUACAAAGAACAUUUGAGCCAGUUUCAGUCCAAUUGAGCUGCAUACAUGACAGAGAAAAUCCAUCCCAACGGCAUUAUCCGGGUAUGUUAGUCCUACAGUGAGAAGUUUGAUUUAGCACAGUUUCAGUCGCACUACAGCGAUUAAUCAUGUUUCUUUUAAUAACAUGUAAACAUGGUAUAAUAAUCCAGUUUUUUAUCCAUUGACCAUUAACAGUUGCUGUUUUCUUUUUCGUCCUUUAACUAACAUCUUAUUAAAUUGACUUAUUUGACAAAUUGAUCCAAAUUGUGCUGCCGUGAAUGUUCAGUCCAGAGGGCUUUAUUCCAUAUGCUAGUCCAUGGUUAAUUUCAUUUCAUUCACUGGGUUCACUCCCCCAUGCAUGCUCAUGCUAAUCCUCUCCUCUCUUAUCUCCUGGUCAUAUCUAUAUAUUCCUCUAGUAACUAGUUCAUUCAUGCAUCAGUUCUGUCCAUCACCACCCAGCUUUUGCAGCUCUCCAGCUUUAUCAGCCCUGGACACUUUUAUCAACUAUCUCCCCAUUACCACCUAGUCUUGCAGUUUGAAUCAGCUCCAUCAUCUCAUUAGCCUCAGAUGUUAUCACGAGCCAACACCUCCCUAGUAUCUGGACUUCACAGGGAGAUAGAUUUUGCAGAUGCCCUUUAAUCUCCAUAUCUCCCUGUAGAGUUCAGGCAUCAAAGAAACACUGAUAAGUGAACAUCACAUUGUCUCUGUGAUAUAAAUAUUCAUCUUUAAUGCCUCAAUGCCUAUCCUGAAUAAGUGUCAGUCUACUGGAAUUUGUGAUUGGAGUCACAUCUAUAGUGAAGGUGUGCUGCCAGGAUAUAAUAGACUGCUGCUAGGGAGUAUUGGCCAAUCAAAAUCAAGAAUUGAACUCAGCUGUACAAUAAACUUGCAUUACUAACUCGCUGUAGUUUUAUUUUGAAAUUAAAAUUCGUAGAUUUCUUGUUCUUCAUUUUAAACACAUUCUUUCUUACAUUCAGUAACUCAAACUAUGAUGUUGACAAGCAUCACACUCAAACGUACAUGUCACAUGGUCUCUCCUCAGCAUUUGUAUGCCUUCGACCUUCCAUGCUUUUGAAAAAUUGUAGGCACUCAAACCCCCUUAUGAUUCAUUUAGCCUUUGUUUUCCUACUACAGCCUUUAGAUAUCAAUGUAAAAAAUUACACGUCAUCCCUUGAAGCUGUUCUCCAUGUAGCACAGAGUUUUAUGACCAAAACUGCAUUUACGUAACUAAAGCAGCUCAAAAAGAGAAGUCAAUCUGUGGAAGACCGUUACAUCUGAUUUUAUUAAAGGUUACAAAAAUUAGGGAGAAGUGCUGAGACCCAUAUGCUCCACCACAUCCUCUAUUGAUCUCACUCAGACAUCUUUGUGUGCAAGCAAGCAUACAAGGACACAGAUGAACAUGGACAAGAACAAACGUCUUUGUGCUUUUAGAGAUAAAAACAGAAGAUAUGUUUAUUAUAGAGGCUUCUCAGUAAUGUCAUGUUUCUGCCAAAAGAGCUUUCAGGGGAAUGAGAUAACUCUUUUGCUUUCUAUCGCAAGCAUGUUUUUUUUUACAUGCAGCUGAAGUGUUUCAAUGAUAAGAUAAAGUACUGCCUGACUUGUCAUCAUUUCCUCAUUCGCUCUGGUAUGUUUGUUAGCAACAGUGAGAUCCUGUGAUAUAAUGAAUCAUAUGACCAUGAGAAGCUGUGAAGGCUACGAAAAUUGAGGUCACAUCAAAGUGACAGGAAGUUUGUGUCACGCAAUGUAAGUCACAUCUAGCCAGACAAAACGCUUAUGUUAAUGGUAUCUACUAUCCUUAGAUAUGCAUUGUUGCAGUAUUUUUGCUGCCAUGUGUGUCAUGACACAGAAGCCGUCUGCUUUUGACCACAUGAGCAGUUUACAGGAAGUGACGGGAGAACGGUUUGAUGCUGCUCAUCCAGUACAAACAGGUUAUGAGGUGAUGGUAGUGGUAAUCAUGAUGUAUUGAGACAAUCAUAGAUAUUCUGAUCUCAGAGCACUCUUUCCAAAUAAAAAACUCAAUUUCACAGUUUCAGCAAAAACUGAUAUUUUAGUAUGAACAUGAACAUGGCGGGGCAUCUAAGGCCAAGGAAAGCACAUUGUUACUUCUUAUGGCCGUUUCCUCUUUCACUAAUGCACCCUGUGGAUAUCAGGAAAGUGCUGUAUCAGUGAAUGCGUUUACAUCGCUGUUAAGUCAAGCUACAGUCAAAACUCAAUUAGUCAAUUUGACUGGACGACUGUCCUUGUCCCAGUUUACAAUCACCAGGCAAGUAUAAUAUUACUGACAUGAGCAUGUCUGUCUCUGCCUGCAUGAUUGGUAGUGACAUGCCGCCUUUUGGCUCAUCAUCGGGUUGACCCACUACAUAUCAAAACAACAAAACACGUUAGCAAGAGGCUAUGGUGUGUAUGUCAAUGUUAAAAAUGUUUUUUUUACUGCUCUGUGCUGUUUGUUUGUACGAGAAGACAAGAUAAGAGAUUCCUUUAAUAGUCCCACAGGGGGAAAUUCCAAACAAACAAUUUAGCAAAGUUUCAUCUGUUUUACGUCAGUUCUUCAUCUGUCUGAGUUUUGUUUACUACCUGGCUUAGUAGCAACACAUUUUAGCUAUGCAACUCCAGACUCAAAGCCUGGCAUGCUAACCAUAGAUUUCAUAUAGCGUAUCACUAGAUGCUUUAUGACUCAUGUAAGACUACAGCAGCGAAUACGUCAAGACCGCUGCCAUCUUGAAGUGGUACCGGUGACUCCUGGCAAGUGUGGUGUUGGAUGUAAACAAAUGCAGUUGUUAGGUGUAUCACAGGCUUUCAAAACUUAAACUGACUGAAAAACCAUUGACUAGCACUGUUCCAAGAUGGUGGUGGUCCUGAUGCACCCUGGGCAGGGUUGUAAAGCAUCUAGUGAUUAUGAUAUCUAUGGUGCUAACACAGAGGCAUAUGCAGAACAUUUGAGCCAGUUUCAGCCCAACUGAGCUGUAUAGAAGGAAGAGAAAACCUAUCCCCAACUGCACUAUCCAGGGGUAUUAGUCAGGCUAUGAGAAGUUUUAUCCAGCGCAAUUUCGGUCAAACUAAUGUGUUAAAAUGUUUUUAAAAGUGCAGGUUAAGGACUGGGGCAAUUAAUCGAUUUUUUAAACUUGUAAAUGAACUGACUGACUUUUGACUGAAGACCAGGUUUUUGUUGGUCUAAGCCACAGGAAGCUGUCUGCUUACUCAAGAUAGUAAUCCUUGAGCACCACCACAUUUCCUUUUAAAACCAAAACAACCCACAGACACCAGCAUACUCAUAAUGCUAAAGUUCUGCUGGUGUAAUGUUUGUUCAGUACAAACUGGUAACAAGAUGUGACAUGAUAUAACUGAUAGAACACAACACAAGAUGAUGCAAUAUAAUACGAUACUGUACAAAACAUACAAUAUGGUAUUGUAUGAAUGGUACAAUAUGAGUUGAUGCAACAAGGUUUUGUACGGUACGGUGCAGUGUGGUGCAAUGCUAUACUAAGAAGGCACGGCAUGACACAAUAUGAUAUGAUACAAUGCAAUUGGGUAUUAUAUGAUAUGAUACUAUACAAAAUAAUAGAAUAUAGUUGACUACUAUUGCAGCAAUACUAGCAGUAUAUGGUUGGUAAUUGGCACCUAUAACAAGUAAAAAAAAAAGAAGCAUGAUCUUGACCUUAUUAUAGUGCUAUAUGGCUAGUCUAGGGAUCACCAAAGUUAUAUACUCAAUGGACCAAAUUUGAUUUAAUCAAUUUAUUAAUGGCUCUAAACAAAUAUGUCAGGGGGGCCAAAGUUUUAUGGUUCAUCUUCUGAUGACUACAAUGUUCCUAUAAUUUCAGGACAGUCCAGUGUGCAUCCAAGUUGCACACUUUCAUUUACCAUCUUGUUAAGUGGAAAUGCUGAUUAAGCAUUUCCACUUACUGUUGUAUUCUUUUUGAGUUUCUCAGUGAAAAUGUCCCCCGAUGAUUAUUCAGAGCCUUUCGCACAAAUCGUGGCUCUAUAUUUGAAUCUACCGUAAAUAUGGGUCAAAUCACAUCUAAAUGUAGAACGUCACAGGUUUAUUUGCUACCAAAAGUACCAAAAGGUUAUUAAAAAAAAAAAUCAAGUCACAACUUGAAAAAAGAAAUGUCAAUAAGAGUCGUGACGAUGGAAAUGACCCACUUUGAGCUUCAGCAAACAGAAAGAGUUGUGGAUGUUGCGGUCUGUCUGUGGCCUAAAUAAUUGUGAAUACUUUGGGUAAUGGUGUCACAAACAUGCAGAGAAGACCUACAUAUCUAUUUUGCUUCUGUUCUCCGCAGGUCUUUACAUGACUUCCUCUAAAUUCACCUCAUUGGUGAAUUACGUCCAUUCACUGUUUCUACAGUAAGAUUUCACAAAAAAGUGUCACAUUUUUUCAGAUACUUUUCGAUUAUUGUGCCUCUGAGGAGAGCAAUAACACAGGGUUUUCAGCUGACAUACCGAGAUCUGUGUGUGUCGAAGUAAAAUCCAAUAUAAAGGUACGGUGUGUAGUAUAUUUAGCAGAACAGACUUGGUAGAAAUUAAAUAUAACUGUCAUCAUAGUUUUUCCCUGGUUUUAUAAUUACUUGUAUUUUCCAUAGUGUUUCUGUUCCCUGUUGUCCCUGUUUCCUCUAGUUAAUUAUUCUUAUGUUCCUGUUGUUCUUGUUUUUCACUGUUUGGUUUUUGAGGUCUGUUUUCAGUGUUUCCUGUUUUAUUUCGUAGUGGUCAGUCCCUGUGUAUCUAGUGUAAAUUCCUUAGUUUUCCCCCCCUUUAUUGAUUACUAGCAAGUUUCACGUCUGCAUCAUGUGCUGCUCAUUCCCCUCCUUCCUUGUUGGUUUAUCGUUGGUGCUGUUCAUACCUUGUCCUCCCUACCUCAUGUCCUCAUGUUUUAUUGGAUUUUGAUCUUUGUUGUAAUUUUUUCCCCUCACCUUUUGUUCAUUAAACUUUUUUCAGUUAUGUCUGCAUUUUGGGUCCUCUUAUUUGUUAAAACUGUAUCUGUGACAAUAACAUUGAUUAGAACAUCCAAAAGUGUGUGUUUUCACCUGAAAAAAAACAAAAAAACAAUAUUUUGGUAAAAUUUAGACUGAACAGUUCCUCUCUCCAAAUAAUUUUUCACUUUUCUUUAAGAAGAUGAAAUCUAAGUAAACAAGGUAAAAUGCCAUUAAAGUGACUGGAAUAUUUUUAAAGUCUUACUACCUCUGUACAUAUUGUAUCUCAGCCAAUCCACCGAUAAGUCUGAGUUCCUAGGCCUAAAUACUGCAGUUAGGGGUUCUGAGAUUGUCAUUGUCAAAAUAAUGAUGAUAAACAUGAUGAAUUAACUGCUUAAGACUAAAAACACACAGAGUUAGUGGCUGUACUCUGCAACACAUAACUCAAUUUAGUUGUUGACCUCCUCUUGUGUCUGUGAACACACAUGAAAAACUGUACAGCUUACAUCUGGAUCAAAGUUUCUCCUUUUGCUGCCAGUUCCUGUUUAGACCUAUUACAGUCAAAUGAAAACCAUGUGAGCUUCAUGUGUUUCAAGUCCUGUGGUGAGCUCAAGUUCAAUCUCGUUUGUACUAGUUGCUGCUUAGUUUGGUUUCUAUGCUGUGUCAUUCAUGAGGAGAUGUCCUAAGAAGGAGACAGACAGAAGAGGAAGUGAGUGUCACUUUCACAGUCUUACUCAGACAUAAAGGUUUCAUUGCACAUCAGUUUAAGCAGCAUUAAAAAAAAAAAAGGUCUUAAUUCAGUCUGAUGCACAUUAAUCAACAUGUUAUCAGGAGUAUUUUUCUGACCUUAUUUGAUUAGUUGUGUGCUGCAGUGGUACUACUCGUGGUAUUUAUAAAGGGAAGUGGCUGAAGUGUUUGUACUCUGGGCUGGUCAUUGGGCUAAAAAAGUAAAAAUUAUACAGUCUUGUUUGAUUCAUUACUUAAACUACUUCACUUCACUUCUUGUUCUGCUUUUUAAGGUGGGGGCAAAAUAUCCCACAACUAAAAUUAAACUACAUAACACAUUUAGUCGAGUAGAAUGUGAGCACAAUGUUUGACGCACUCUGAGCAUUCACGUGUCUUUUUUCCAAUUACAUAACAAUCACACUCUGUGUCAGUCUCAAAAGGUGGAACGUGCUGAGAUGCAUGUUUUAGAGUGAAACAUGGAGUCUGUCUCAGUUUGAAGCACUGAUGUUGGAAAUGUGAUUAAAGCUGAAAGAGUACUCAUAAGGCAUUGUGGAAACUGAGAGGCUUUAUAUUUCAAAGAAAGAUGAUUAAAUUUUAUCAUGGUGAGAUAUCUAUGCAUCUCCAGAGCACACAGAUGAUGCAAGAAGUGCCUUAUGUGUCUCAUUUGCCAUGCACUGAUGUUAAUUUUGGAGGCUUUUGAAGCACCUGCAUAACAAUUUAUAUUUUAUCUGCUCAUCUUGAUGCAAAACAAGGCAAUCAAGUGAACAUGAGCAAUGUUUGUUAUCUGACCGUGUGAUCCCAGCACAUUAACCCUGCGGGUGGCCUCACUGUCUCUUCUGCAG